GUAUUCUCGGGGCCUGGACAAGUUGGCUGAACGCUUUACUAGCCGCAGUGGACGCCUUGGAGGCAGCAGCCGGGAGCAGCAAAGUUUCCGGAAGGAGCCAACUCUCCUGUCACCCUUGCACUGCUGGGCUAUGCUGCUGGAACAUACUCGGCAGCAGAGUCGGGAAAGUGCUACCCUCAGUGAGGUGCUGGCUGGACCUCUGGCACAGCGCCUGAGUCACAUUGCCGAGGAUGUAGGACGCAUUGUCAAAAAGGUAGGGACUGUGGAAGGCCUCAGAAUCCAACCAAA
rnacentral:lncRNA from 1 species